UACGAAGGGGGCUAGCGUUGCUCGGAAUGACUGGGCGUAAAGGGCGCGUAGGCGGAUGGUACAGUCAGGCGUGAAAUUCCUGGGCUCAACCUGGGGGCUGCGUUUGAUACGUAUUGUCUGGAGUUCGGAAGAGGGUCGUGGAAUUCCCAGUGUAGAGGUGAAAUUCGUAGAUAUUGGGAAGAACACCGGUGGCGAAGGCGGCGACCUGGUCCGAUACUGACGCUGAGGCGCGAAAGCGUGGGGAGCAAACAGG
rnacentral:rRNA from 1 species